rnacentral:rRNA from 1 species
GACGAACCGUCCAAACGUUAUUCGGAAUUACUGGGCUUAAAGGGCGCGUAGGCGGCGCGGAAAGUUGGGUGUGAAAUCCCUCGGCUCAACCGAGGAAUUGCGCCCAAAACUUCCGUGCUUGAGGGAGACAGAGGUGAGCGGAACUGAUGGUGGAGCGGUGAAAUGCGUUGAUAUCAUCAGGAACACCGGUGGCGAAAGCGGCUCACUGGGUCUCUUCUGACGCUGAGGCACGAAAGCUAGGGGAGCGAACGGG